rnacentral:lncRNA from 1 species
UAUUAGUCCAGUAAUGUAGAUGCACAAAUUGCAAUACUCCAUUACUUUGAAUGCUAAUUUUGGUGCUAACAUUUAUUAUUUGAUAAUAUUUAUUUGAAUAUUACAGUGCAGGCUACAGUUUCUCUAGUACCUGUACUACUUUGGGUAUUAUUUUUGUGACCUUCUGGUACACCACCAUCAGUUCUACUAAAAAAUCUGAAUGUCAUCUGUGAAAGUACUUCACCACCAUUGAUGAUUUUAUACUUAAUACUAAAUACCAGGUAUAGGCUACCUUCGGCACUCCAGAUGUGGACUAUAUGUACCCUGAUCCUUUGCCAGCAUUAUGGUUAUGGGAGAUGUAGUCCACAACAUCUGGAAUGCUAAUUGUUUCUUACCUCUGCUAUAUACUAUAGAAAGAACAAGUUAAAUCAGAAUUUACACAAUGCACAGUAGAACAACAGAUUACAUCUUCUUACAUGUGUUACCUUGAAUUGUAUUAUCAUCAUGAAUGGUAGGAUAUUGCUGUAGAACCUCUAUUUAGGGAUCGUAGAACCAGUUUCAUUGCCCUUUCCCAAGAGUGUUGCUAGGAGACAAAAAUAGCAGGGGAUAUAAUCCAAGAGUAAAUUGUAAGCUCCCUCUAACAUAUAUUUACUUAAGAUUCUGCUAAUGCCAGCCGUAAGCCAUGCUCUAAGUAAACCGUUAAAUCAUAAUCUGUUUUAUAAAUCACAUCAACCGAGUUAUUCACAAAAGUGAGAAUUGUUAGAAAUUAAAAGCAAAUAGAUUAAGUCCAACAUAUCUGAACUAGAAAAAUUAUCCACCUCAGCUAUUCUUCCAGUUUGGCUUCUUUGAUGUUAAAGGACUUUUAUAGGCUCCAAAACUACUUCAUUGAGAUGAAGUGGUCUGGGUACAGUGCCCUGCCAUUUUUUUGUCCUGCAAUGUAAAAUAUUGAGAAAUCAAAGAACACCGGAAUAAGGGCUUUGCUACAGUGUAUAACAAACAACAAUACAAAGUCCAGAUAAAAGAAGUCUUAAGUAAAGAAUACCCUCUUGUAUAAUGGUCAAGUAGUCAGAGGGUCAAAGCAGAAAAGUCUUGUCUAGAAGGUAUUCAACGUUCUGUGAUGAAAUCCACAUAUAAUAUAAAAAGACAAAAGCGGGAGAGACACCAAUAGUGCAAUAUGUCAAUACGUACAGAGUGGAGGUAGUAACAAAAUAGCGAUGAGGUAAUCACAUUUGAUGGAGCUAUAGCCAGCUCAAGUAUAAAUAGCGUUCAGUGGUAUAAUCCCCACUUACAGGAUAUGGUGUGGGUGUCCUCAAAAAAGGAAAGUCUGAAAACCCAAAAGUAAAGAUAAAAUGCAACAGAUAUCAUGGUAUGUUAUAAAAACUUCUAAAAGUAGCAUAAAACAAGAUAUACUCACAAAGGUAGAGCUGACCAACUGCUCUAUGAAUGAGGCAACAAGGUAAUGAUCCCCACCUAAUAUUUCUUUGGAGUUGGUAGGAGCAAUGAUAAGAAAAUUUUUAAAAAAUUAUAUAGAAUGCCAGGUAGCUUUAAAGGAUAGUUAUUAUAAAAUACAAAGUAGAGUUUUAGCAAAAACAUCAUUUAAUUACAUAAAAGCAGAGUAAUAACAUUCAUAAACGUGUUUUCACUCAUUUUAUAUAUUAUUUUUUUUUUAUUAUUCUUAUCAUCGAUCCUAUCAGAUUUUUCUGCUUUGACACUGACUACUUGAAUUUCCCAUUAUACAAAAGGGUAUUUUUUACUUAAGACUUCUUUUAUCUGGACUUUUUAUUAUUAUUUAUUACACACUGUAGACGCAGCCCUAAUGUCUGUGUUCUUUGCUUUCUCCGUGUACUAAGGGUUUGAGAGGAAUUCCUUAAUUUGGGUUGCUGCAACUUUUUUCUAUUGAUUAGCGCUGAUCCUCUUGCUUGAAUGUAAAAUAUUGCCAUAUUAUAGAUGCAUUGCAGUGCUAAAACACACCUCUUCCUGACAGACACUAGUGUGUGGUAUAACGUAGUCAGAGUCGGUUAUGCAAUGUUCAGCAUUCUUACGCAUUGCACGAGGACCUCAAAUAUCCUCUAGUAAUGAUCAUAGGGAAGCAUUGGAGUCCAUGCUUCCUAAUGAGAAGCAUUAAGCUUGAUUAGUACUUCUUGUCCCCUAUAUUUCUCUAUAAAUGAAUUAACAUGAAUUGGAUUGAAUUGUAUGAGGGUUGAUGUCACUUUUGGAGAAGCAGGUGGCUGCACGGAGUGGGUCCCAGCACAUAAAGAAUGGUGAGUAAAACCCUUUCCCCCCCCCAUUUUUUAAAUUACUUACAUGGGCGCCAUGAAUUAAAAUCGGGAGUAGAAGACCAUAACAUUAGGAGAGCGUUUCCUAACACCAUAGUGUUCCUUUUAAACUAUAAUUUUACUUUGAAAUUACCCUGUAUUCCUGACAAUGUUCUCUUUACAGAAUAACCCUGCAAUUAUUGAAUUCAUAGUAUUAUUUUAUCCUAUCUUUAUAAACUUUGAUAAACCUUAAUCCAUACUGUAUUAACUAUUCACUACACUACAUUAAAACCCUCCACCCACAGCAAUAUCCCAACAUUGUGCUGUAUAGUUAAGUCCAAAGAUGGUGCAUCAGUGUUGCACUUACAUUAUAUAAUUGGUGGUAUUUUUUUUUCCUUCUCUCUCAAUUUAACAGGGGAUUCUGGGUCUAAAGAUAAAAUGAAUAGUGCCAAAAUUAGACCUGGGUUUUCAGGAUCCAUCUCAGUCCUCCUGUCAGCCUCCCAUAACAAUGCCCUUGCCAAUUCCCUUAGAACGUAGAAUAUGGGCUUAAACCUUGGAUAGAGUUAUGUAUGAUAUUGAACUUCCAGAUUUGUCAAGUAGAAAGUUACUUCUCAGAACUGUUACAUUACUACACCCUGAUUGUGUUGGCCCCCAAAUCCUAGACCAUGCUUGUUUGCAAUUAAUUUGUUUCUAUUGAGGCAUUAACAUUUAUUGCUAAGUUGCUGAUUGUAUUGAAACUAGAUUGUUAGUUUUGUAAUACCUAUACUGCUGUUAUCAUGAUCUUACUAAAUGUUUAAAUAACAAAAAAGUAUUUGGUCUCCACGUGAAGUAUUUUUCAUAAUUCUUCAAAAGUGUAGUGCACUUAUACAAUGGGUUGUGUUUGUACUGAGCAAAUAAACUAAACAGAGACAAAUGUGGACAUUAAAGCAACAAGAAGCUCAGUGAUCACACAAGGAAAAUAUGUUUUAUAAAG